UACGAAGGGGGCUAGCGUUGUCCGGAUUUAUUGGGCGUAAAGAGCGUGUAGGCGGCCAGGUAGGUCUGCUGUGAAAACUCGAGGCUCAACCUCGAGACGCCGGCGGAAACCAUCUGGCUAGAGUCCGGAAGAGGAGAAUGGAAUUCCCGGUGUAGCGGUGAAAUGCGCAGAUAUCGGGAAGAACACCCGUGGCGAAGGCGGUUCUCUGGGACGGUACUGACGCUGGAGACGCGAAAGCGUGGGGAGCGAACAGG
rnacentral:rRNA from 1 species